rnacentral:rRNA from 1 species
GACGAACGCUGGCGGCGUGCUUAACACAUGCCAGUCGAACGGUGAAGCGCCUUCCUUUUUGGUGGGUGUGGAUGAGUGGCGAACGGGUGAGUAACACGUGAGUAACCUGCCCCCUUCUUCUGGAUAACCGCAUGAAAGUGUGGCUAAUACGGGAUAUUCUGGGUCUGUCGCAUGAUGGGUCUGGGAAAGAUAUUGUUUCGGUGGGGGAUGGGCUCGCGGCCUAUCAGCUUGUUGGUGGGGUGAUGGCCUACCAAGGCGGUGACGGGUAGCCGGCCUGAGGGGGUGGAGGGUCACAAUGGGACUGAGGAACGGCGCAGACUGAUACGGGAGGCAGCAGUGGGGAAUAAUGCACAAUGGGCGCAAGCCUGAUGCAGCGGCGCCGCGUGAGGGAUGGAGGCCUUCGGGUUGUGAACCUCUUUCGCCAGUGAAGCAGGCCUGCCUCGUUUGUGGGUGGGUUGACGGUAGCUGGAUAAGAAGCGCCGGCUAACUACAUG